rnacentral:snoRNA from 1 species
CUCCAGUGAUGACUUCCAUUUUGAGCCACUUGUCUGGGCCACUGAUAUACUCUGAUUGGAUUUAGGAACUGCUGAUGAG